rnacentral:rRNA from 1 species
GUGUAGGAUAGGUGGGAGGCUUUGAAGUGUGGACGCCAGUCUGCAUGGAGCCGGCCUUGAAAUACCACCCUUUAAUGUUUGAUGUUCUAACGUGGACCCGUUACCCGGGUUGCGGACAGUGUCUGGUGGGUAGUUUGACUGGGGCGGUCUCCUCCUAAAGAGUAACGGAGGAGCACGAAGGUUGGCUAAUCCUGGUCGGACAUCAGGAGGUUAGUGCAAUGGCAUAAGCCAGCUUGACUGCGAGCGUGACGGCGCGAGCAGGUGCGAAAGCAGGUCAUAGUGAUCCGGUGGUUCUGAAUGGAAGGGCCAUCGCUCAACGGAUAAAAGGUACUCCGGGGAUAACAGGCUGAUACCGCCCAAGAGUUCAUAUCGACGGCGGUGUUUGGCACCUCGAUGUCGGCUCAUCACAUCCUGGGGCUGAAGUAGGUCCCAAGGGUAUGGCUGUUCGCCAUUUAAAGUGGUACGCGAGCUGGGUUUAGAACGUCGUGAGACAGUUCGGUCCCUAUCUGCCGUGGGCGCUGGAGAACUGAGGGGGGCUGCUCCUAGUACGAGAGGACCGGAGUGGACGCAUCACUGGUGUUCGGGUUGUCAUGCCAAUGGCACUGCCCGGUAGCUAAAUGCGGAAGAGAUAAGUGCUGAAAGCAUCUAAGCACGAAACUUGCCCCGAGAUGAGUUCUCCCUGAGACUUAGAGUCUCCUGAAGGAACGUUGAAGACGACGACGUUGAUAGGCCGGGUGUGUAAGCGCAGCGAUGCGUUGAGCUAACCGGUACUAAUGAACCGUGAGGCUUAACCUUACAACGCCGAAGCUGUU